GACGAACGCUGGCGGCGUGGAUUAGGCAUGCAAGUCGAACGGUAUCAUCCUUUCGGGGGUGAGAGAGUGGCGAACUGGUGAGUAACACGUAGGUUAUCUACCCUCAAGACGGGGACAACCCAGGGAAACUUGGGCUAAUACCGGAUGUGAGCAACUUUUAGUUGUUUGAAAGGUGGCGUAAGCUGUCGCUUGGGGAUGAGCCUGCGUCCUAUCAGCUAGUUGGUGAGGCAACGGCUCACCAAGGCGACGACGGGUAGCCGGCCUGAGAGGGUGUCCGGCCACACUGGAACUGAGACACGGUCCAGACUCCUACGGGAGGCAGCAGUGGGGAAUUUUGGGCAAUGGGGGAGACCCUGACCCAGCGACGCCGCGUGAGGGACGAAGGCCCUUGGGUCGUAAACCUCUUUUGCAGGGGAAGAAGAAGAUGACGGUACCUUGCGAACAAGUCCCGGCUAACUACGUG
rnacentral:rRNA from 1 species